AACGAACGCUGGCGGCAUGCCUAACACAUGCAAGUCGAACGAGACCUUCGGGUCUAGUGGCGCACGGGGGCGUAACGCGUGGGAACCUGCCCGUAGGUUCGGAAUAACUCCCCGUAAGGGGUGCUAAUACCGGAUAAUGUCUGCGGACCAAAGAUUUAUCGACUUUGGAUGGGCCCGCGUUGGUUUAGCUAGUUGGUAGGGUAAAAGCCUACCAAGGCGACGAUCCAUAGCUGGUCUGAGAGGAUGAUCAGCCACACUGGGACUGAGACACGGCCCAGACUCCUACGGGAGGCAGCAGUGGGGAAUAUUGGACAAUGGGCGAAAGCCUGAUCCAGCAAUGCCGCGUGAGUGAUGAAGGCCUUAGGGUUGUAAAGCUCUUUUACCCGGGAUGAUAAUGACAGUACCGGGAGAAUAAGCUCCGGCUAACUCCGUG
rnacentral:rRNA from 1 species